rnacentral:rRNA from 1 species
UUGAACGCUGGCGGCAGGCCUCACACAUGCAAGUCGCACGGUAACAGGAAGAAGCUUGCUUCUUUGCUGACGAGUGGCGGACGGGUGAGUAAUGUCUGGGAAACUGCCUGAUGGAGGGGGAUAACUACUGGAAACGGUAGCUAAUACCGCAUAACGUCGCAAGACCAAAAAGGGGGACCUUCGGGCCUCUUGCCAUCGGAUGUGCCCAGAUGGGAUUAGCUAGUAGGUGGGGUAACGGCUCACCUAGGCGACGAUCCCUAGCUGGUCUGAGAGGAUGACCAGCCACACUGGAACUGAGACACGGUCCAGACUCCUACGGGAGGCAGCAGUGGGGAAUAUUGCACAAUGGGCGCAAGCCUGAUGCAGCCAUGCCGCGUGUAUGAAGAAGGCCUUCGGGUUGUAAAGUACUUUCAGCGGGGAGGAAGGGAGUAAAGUUAAUACCUUUGCUCAUUGACGUUACCCGCAGAAGAAGCACCGGCUAACUCCGUG